rnacentral:rRNA from 1 species
UACGAAGGGGGCUAGCGUUGUUCGGAAUCACUGGGCGUAAAGGGCGCGUAGGCGGCUUUAUAAGUCGGGGGUGAAAGCCUGUGGCUCAACCACAGAAUUGCCUUCGAUACUGUAGAGCUUGAGACCGGAAGAGGUAAGUGGAACUGCGAGUGUAGAGGUGAAAUUCGUAGAUAUUCGCAAGAACACCAGUGGCGAAGGCGGCUUACUGGUCCGGUACUGACGCUGAGGUGCGAAAAGCGUGGGGAGCAAACAGGG